AUUUUAAGCGUUAUCCGUUAUCCCAGGAAAUUGCUAUUUUACUUAUUUUUUUAUAGUUUUUAUCACCAAUUAAAUAAAUUUAUUAUUUUCAAUAUUUCAAUGUCAGUGUACUAAUGACCUAAGGCCACUAAGGGGGUAAAGUUAAUUUUUAAUUUGUUAGCUAUGGAAUUUCACAUCAAGAUUAAGGAAGAGUAUGUUGAAUAUGACCAAAGACUUAUGCAGAGUCAGCUAUCCACAUCAACAGAUCUUGGAAACGUGAAAAAUGAAGCAGAAAAUAACACAGAUGUGGAGGUAAAAACGGACAUUAAGGAAGAAUUUGUUGAAGGUGACUCCAGCCAUAGAGCCAUAGAGAGUCAGCUAAGUACAUCCAUAGAUCUUGGAGUCCUAAAGAAUGAAUCAGAUGAGUUUAACUCAGGUUUUACUCAGGACAACAAAACGAAAAUUAUGGAGACUUCUUUUGAACAAUUAUCUCAUAAAGGACACUAUAUGAGUUAUGUUGAAGGGGAAACCGUAAAUAAAAAUAUAAAAGUUGCGACCAGACAGCGACCUUACACUUGUGAAAUUUGUUUCAAACAGAUUUGUCGACCAUGUGAUUUAAAACAACAUAUGAGAGUACACACUGGAGAAAAACCUUACAAGUGUGAAAUUUGUUUUAAGCAGUUUACAAAGAAAAGUACUUUGAAUGUACAUUAUAGGAUACACACUGGAGAAAAACCUCAUAAGUGUGAAAUUUGUCUAAAGCAGUUUGCUACAGCAAGUGAUUUGAAAAAACAUUUGAGAGUGCACACUGGAGAAAAACCUCACAAGUGUGAAAUUUGUUUUAAGCAGUUUGCUACAGCCAAUCAUUUGAAAAUACAUUUGAGAGUGCACACUGGAGAAAAACCUUACAAGUGUGAAAUUUGUUUUAAGCAGUUUCCUACAGCCUAUCAUUUGAAAAUACAUUUGAGAGUGCACACUGGAGAAAAACCUCACAAGUGUGAAAUUUGUUUCAAAGAGUUUUCUCGGACAGAUACUUUGAAACUGCACAUAAGAUUGCACACUGGAGAAACACCUUACAAGUGUGAAAUUUGUUUAAAGCAGUUUCCUACAGCCAAUCAUUUGAAAAUACAUUUGAGAGUGCACACUGAAGAAAAACCUCACCACAAGUGUGAAAUUUGUUUCAAACAUUUUACAAGGAAAAGUUAUUUGAAAAUACAUUUGCGAGUGCACACUGGAGAAAAACCUUACAAGUGUGAAAUUUGUUGUAAGCAGUUUCCUACAGCCAAUCAUUUGAAAAUACAUUUGAGAGUGCACACUGAAGAAAAACCUCACUACAAGUGUGAAAUUUGUUUCAAACAUUUUACAAGGAAAAGUUCUUUGAAAAUACAUUUGCGAGUGCACACUGGAGAAAAACCUCACAAGUGUGAAAUUUGUCUAAAGCGGUUUGCUACAGCAAGUGAUUUGAAAAAACAUUUGAGAGUGCACACUGGAGAAAAACCUCACAAGUGUGAAAUUUGUUUUAAGCAGUUUUCUCAACACGUUCAAUUGAAAAAACAUGUGAUACAACCCACCGGAGAAAAACGCUACAAUUAAACAGUUUUCUUGAUCAAAGUAAUGUUAAGCCAGUUUCCCCCAUCCUAGAGAUAACUAACCAGUCUUUUAGAGAACGACUCGAGAAGGAGAUAUCUGCAUAACAUCUCGAAAGGGUCCCCGCUCUGUUUCUUUCCAUCCAGUACAUUCACGGGAAAACCAGCCAACGGGAUAUAAAUUAAAUUACUCGUCAAAAGUUAGGGAUAUGGAAUAUUAUGCUCAUUUUCAUAGUUGAUUUUUGUCGUGAACAGAUUAACGGAUUUUCUUUUGUUUUGAGAACAUUUUCUUUUUUGAACGUCCUUGAUAUCUUUAGAAACAAAGAAGAUAGGUGGUUUUACUCUUUAGCAGGUGUUUUAACUGAAACAAAACUAAAUUAACAAUAAAAAAUAACCGUUAACAAAACUUUAAAAACAGAAAGGCACAAAAGGUAAACAAUUCUUAUCGACACAUAAGAGUUAUUUGUCGACGAGGUAAGCGGUAUGUACAGCGUAAUAUAAGAGAGAGGAGAUUGUUUAAUGGGGGCCCUGUGAUGUUUGGGGGCGGAAUUUCCUUGAGAAUAAGUAUGGAUUUGGUGUCUACGUGGAAGCUCUUUAAAUAGCGAGAGGUGCAUUACACAAAUUUUCAACGAAAACUUUUCGUUUAUAAAUUUGCAAAAGUCUGUGUUAUUGCGUUGCCACUCCUGCAAUACUUAGAGCAGGUGUAUCGAUGGAUUCCUAUGUAGUUUUGCCUUCUGAAUCCAAAUCUGAAAGCGGCAUUUCGAUAUAUCUAACCGUCUUCGAGAUAAUCGACCUCAAAGUCUAAAAUGUGACGUCACAAUCCGGUUAUCUCCUACAGACGCACUAAACGUCAGCUCAAAUGGUUGAUUAGGAAGUAGGCUACUUUUUUUUUAAUCUCGAUUUGCCAAGCAUAGGUUAUUUAUAUUUGAGUUUGACACUUCGUGAAUGUCAAACUAAAUUUUAAAUUAAGUAUUAAUAAAACAUCAAUGACAUUUAAUAGUGAAUUUAAUUAUUAUAUAAAAUAAAUAAGAUGUUCAAAAAUACAAUUUGAGUAUAAAUAUUUUAAAAGCAAUAGUUUAUUAACAGUUUUAAAAAGGUUUAUACCAGUAUAAAUACGGCCUCCCCUUUAUGAUAAAUGGACUGUUCCAUUUGCUAUAAAAUUCAAAUAUUAUGUAUACCUAGUCGUUCCCUAAACUCGACACAACUGGCUAGUGAUUGUAGAAGGUAAUUUUUUUGUUUUUUGAGAAUUUUGCCGAAAUUGGCAAAAUUACUAAUUAUUUAGUAAUAAUUAUUAACUAUUUAGAAUUUAUUUUUUUGUCGAAUUGGCAAAAUUAUUGACUAAAAUCACUAGCCAGUAUUAUGUCUGUGUACAUCCUUCUAAUGGAAAAAAAUAUUUGAAGAUUUUUCUCAAAUUAUGGAUACCAAGAACAUUUUCAUUUAUAACUCUUUUAUUUUUAAUUUGACAAAUAAAAGUUAUUCUUCAUAAAAAGCUCUUCUUGUUCUAAGAUUUAUGAUGCAACCGUGUCCCAAAAGUAGGGGAACGGUCGAAUAUUUCGCGAACUAAACAUCAGAUGGAAAAACUGAAAAAUACGUGUUCAAUCAUUUUCAAAAAUCUAUCUCCAAAUUGGAGACUCCAAUGACA
rnacentral:misc_RNA from 1 species